UACAGAGGGGGCAAGCGUUGUUCGGAAUUAUUGGGCGUAAAGGGCGCGUAGGCGGUGCGGUAAGUCUGUAGUGAAAUCUCUGGGCUCAACUCAGAGUCUGCUGCAGAAACUGCCGUGCUUGAGUGUGGGAGAGGUGAGUGGAAUUCCCGGUGUAGCGGUGAAAUGCGUAGAUAUCAUUUGGAACGCCAAUGGUGAAAACAGGUAGCUGGGGCUGUGCUGACGCUGAGACACGAAAGCCAGGGGAGCAAACGGG
rnacentral:rRNA from 1 species